rnacentral:tRNA from 1 species
GCCUACUUAGUUUAACAAAAACAUCAGACUGUGAUUCUGGCAAUAGGGGCUUAGCCCCUUUUAGGCA